CCGUAGCCCAAGAGAUCGGGAUAACACCUGGAAACAGAUGCUAAUACCGGAUAANAACAGAUGAUGCCUAUCAACUGUUUAAAAGAUGGUUCUGCUAUCACUCUUGGAUGGACCUGCGGUGCAUUAGCUAGUUGGUAGGGUAACGGCCUACCAAGGCGAUGAUGCAUAGCCGAGUUGAGAGACUGAUCGGCCACAUUGGGACUGAGACACGGCCCAAACUCCUACGGGAGGCAGCAGCG
rnacentral:rRNA from 1 species